rnacentral:lncRNA from 1 species
AGUGUCAUCUCUUCCUUUGUUGAUAAAUUGCCAAAGAGUGGGCUGAGGCCUCGGUGGGGCCAGUGCGACGCUGGCUUAAGGAGCUGGAGGGGUUCCUAAUACACAUUUAAUUCAGUUUCUCUUCCCUAAGAGGCUGCCGGAGUUGGGGCCUCCUCCAGCAGAGACCCUCGGACCCCUGCAGGGCCUGGACUUGGGGUGAACAGGGCUUCAGUCAGCGCAAGUAUUCCAUUUGCAUUUGGUAAUUUUUCAUGCCACCUAUUUAUGAAUAUAUAAAUCUUUAUACCAAAUCUAUUUUUUAAAACAUGGAAAAGUUGCCUUUAUGGAAACUUGGCAGAGCCAGAGUGUACACAUUCCUAAACCAUUAAACAGAUUUCUAUAACAAAAAAAAAAAAAAAAAAAAAAA